GAAAUGCGAUAAGUAAUGUGAAUUGCAGAAUUCAGUGAAUCAUCAAAUCUUUGAACGCACAUUGCGCUUCCUGGUACUCCGGGGAGCAUGCCCGUUUCAGCAUCAUUAAAACAUCACAAAGCGUGUAGGUUGUCUGUUCGCAGACAUCCUGGGCGCUUUGCGCGGAUGGGUCUUGGGCAACUUGUUUGUCCCGAGAUCUGAAUGUCAUGAUGUAGGUGCCGCAGCCAUCACAGGCUUCAGCUGGUUCCCUAAGCGCAGCAGAAUUCAUUCUACCUCGUUUUGGGACCGCUUCUAAUGAAGCUCUGGGCUGCAUUUGACGCACACACACCUUUCUACCCAAUGCGUUGAAAAACAACUCGUUCGGCUUUACGUCGAGCAAGAUUUUUCUUCUGACUUGGUC
rnacentral:misc_RNA from 1 species